rnacentral:rRNA from 1 species
CUGUCGGCGUGCUUAACACAUGCAAGUCGAACGGAAAGGCCCUGCUUUUGUGGGGUGCUCGAGUGGCGAACGGGUGAGUAACACGUGAGUAACCUGCCCUUGACUUUGGGAUAACUUCAGGAAACUGGGGCUAAUACCGGAUAGGAGCUCCUGCUGCAUGGUGGGGGUUGGAAAGUUUCGGCGGUUGGGGAUGGACUCGCGGCUUAUCAGCUUGUUGGUGGGGUAGUGGCUUACCAAGGCUUUGACGGGUAGCCGGCCUGAGAGGGUGACCGGCCACAUUGGGACUGAGAUACGGCCCAGACUCCUACGGGAGGCAGCAGUGGGGAAUAUUGCACAAUGGGCGGAAGCCUGAUGCAGCAACGCCGCGUGCGGGAUGACGGCCUUCGGGUUGUAAACCGCUUUCGCCUGUGACGAAGCGUGAGUGACGGUAAUGGGUAAAGAAGCACCGGCUAACUACGUGCCAGCAGCCGCGGUGAUACGUAGGGUGCGAGCGUUGUCCGGAUUUAUUGGGCGUAAAGGGCUCGUAGGUGGUUGAUCGCGUCGGAAGUGUAAUCUUGGGGCUUAACCCUGAGCGUGCUUUCGAUACGGGUUGACUUGAGGAAGGUAGGGGAGAAUGGAAUUCCUGGUGGAGCGGUGGAAUGCGCAGAUAUCAGGAGGAACACCAGUGGCGAAGGCGGUUCUCUGGGCCUUUCCUGACGCUGAGGAGCGAAAGCGUGGGGAGCGAACAGGCUUAGAUACCCUGGUAGUCCACGCUGUAAACGGUGGGUACUAGGUGUGGGGUCCAUUCCACGGGUUCCGUGCCGUAGCUAACGCUUUAAGUACCCCGCCUGGGGAGUACGGCCGCAAGGCUAAAACUCAAAGGAAUUGACGGGGCCCCGCACAAGCGGCGGAGCAUGCGGAUUAAUUCGAUGCAACGCGUAGAACCUUACCUGGGUUUGACAUGGAUCGGGAGUGCUCAGAGAUGGGUGUGCCUCUUUUGGGGUCGGUUCACAGGUGGUGCAUGGCUGUCGUCAGCUCGUGUCGUGAGAUGUUGGGUUAAGUCCCGCAACGAGCGCAACCCUUGUUCACUGUUGCCAGCACGUUAUGGUGGGGACUCAGUGGAGACCGCCGGGGUCAACUCGGAGGAAGGUGGGGAUGACGUCAAGUCAUCAUGCCCCUUAUGUCCAGGGCUUCACGCAUGCUACAAUGGCUGGUACAGAGAGUGGCGAGCCUGUGAGGGUGAGCGAAUCUCGGAAAGCCGGUCUCAGUUCGGAUUGGGGUCUGCAACUCGACCUCAUGAAGUCGGAGUCGCUAGUAAUCGCAGAUCAGCAACGCUGCGGUGAAUACGUUCCCGGGGCUUGUACACACCGCCCGUCAAGUCAUGAAAGUUGGUAACACCCGAAGCCGGUGGCUUAACCGUUGUGGGGGAGCCGUCGAAGGUGGGACUGGUGAUU